GAUGAAGAACGUAGCGAAAUGCGAUAAGUAAUGUGAAUCGCAGAAUUCAGUGAAUCAUCGAAUCUUUGAACGCACAUUGCGCCCGCCAGUAUUCUGGCGGGCAUGCCUGUCUGAGCGUCAUUUCAACCCUCAUGCCCCUAGGGCGUGGUGUUGGGGAUCGGCCAAAGCCCGCGAGGGACGGCCGGCCCCUAAAUCUAGUGGCGGACCCGUCGUGGCCUCCUCUGCGAAGUAGUGAUAUUCCGCAUCGGAGAGCGACGAGCCCCUGCCGUUAAACCCCCAACUUUCCAAGGUUGACCUCAGAUCAGGUAGGAAUACCCGCUGAACUUAAGCAUAUCAAUAAGCGGAGGA
rnacentral:misc_RNA from 1 species